AUUUUCUUAGUUUAAGGGUAGAACUGCAUUCUUCUAAAGUGCGAAUUUUGGUUCGAGUCCAAAAGAAAAUG
rnacentral:tRNA from 1 species